ACUUGAGUAGUUUAAUUAGAAUAAUAAUUUGUGGAAUUAUAGGUGUUGUGUUAAGGAAAACCUCAAGUC
rnacentral:tRNA from 1 species